ACAAUCUUAUUCAAAUAUUAUUUUUAUUCAUCUUACAAUUUUUUAUAUUGAAAAGAAUGAAUCAAGAUACGGUAAGAGUAAAUUUAUAUUGGGGUGACAAAGUUUUAUAUGAAUCUGGUUCUGUAAUAUAUAAUCGGCCGUCUAUAGUUGUACAAAUGUUUCCGUUAUCUCUUAAAUAUGAGCGGUUGCAAUGCGUAUUAAGAAAUAAAAUGGGUAUAACUGAUCCAGAAGAUGUAGUGGUUAUCACGGGACGAUAUCCAACGUCUUUUACUCCAAAUAGAGUUAUAAUGUACGGUGAGACUUGUAUUUCGAAUAAUGAUUCUUUAUCUAUAUUUCUCCGUACUAUUAAGAUUUUUGGUAGUCGUAUUAACUUAACAAGUCUCGAUAUAUAUGCGUCAAUUGAACGUUGUCCUAUCAUUCAAAUAUCCACCGACAACGAAUUUGAUCUUUGUGAUACAUCACAUUUAUCAAAUUUAAAUGUUGAUUCUUCAAGGGACAUAGUCCAACAUGAAAGAGUGGAAGAAUUUGACACACUCAAAUGAUAUAAGUAAUUUGAAUACACAGUAUGGUGGUUGGGUUGAUAUGCAGUAUCAUAAUUUUGAUCGAAAUGUGCAUAGUUUUGAUAUUGGGGGACCUAGCAAUGCUCAUAUGCACAUGCAAAAUUUGAAUUCUAAUCAUCAGCAACAUUCUUUUCCGCUGGAGUCAAUCGACGGGUAAAUAUAAAAACUUUUUAAAUUAAAUUAAUUUAUAACUUAUACUAAUUUUGUUUGAUUUUUUUCUGUUUUAUAGAUGUAAUGGUUUUGAAGGUACACUGACUCGCCUUACAAAAAUUGUGGAAAAUAAUGAUGAUGUAGCUGAUAAUGGAGUGUGUGGAUCAGAUAGUGAUGAACCUUCAGAACAUGAAUCAAUGGAUGAUGUUGAAACGUUCGAUGAUAAUAAUAUCGUUGGAGAAGAUGCAGCUCUGGUUGCUCGUAGUAUUAGUCAUCCAUCAUUAGAAAUUCCGUAGUUGGAUAAUACCAAAAAAAGCGCAGAAGAUUUUGCGUACACAUGUGAUGAUAGUUUCAAUUAAGCUGCUCUUUGAAAUUUAAAGAAUCCAAAAUUCAUUCAAACAGGUAUGUUAUUCACAAAUAAGAAACAAAUGAAAGCUGCUGUGAUAAUAUAUAGUCUUAAAAAAAGAAAAAAGUAUAUUUGUGAUAGAUCCAAAAGUAAGAGCUGGAGGGUUAUGUGCAAGCGUCACAUGUUGGGAUACGAAUGGAUGAUUCGCUUUCGAAAGAUUUCAAGUGGUAUGUGAAAAGCAGGAAAAAUGAUACAACCACAUACAUGUCUGACUGAUAACUACAAGGAAGAUCAUUUCAAUCUAAACAGCAAUAUGAUUGUUGUUACAUUGGUACCACAUAUUAUGCAGAGCCCGAACAUCAGUAUUAAGGCGGUUCGAGAAGUCAUCAAGUCAAAGCAUCAUUUUACUCCCAGUUAUAGAAAAGCUCAAAGAGGUCGAAAAAAAGCAUUUGUGAUGGUAUAUGGAGAUUUUGAAAGUUCUUUCAAAGCAUAACCUCGCUGCAUGACUGCAUAUAAUAUUUUAAUCCCGGUACUGUUGUUGAAUGGGAGCACUAUUCUUCAACAAUGCAGGGUGAGAAAAUAUUUAAAUUUUUAUUUUGGACUUUUAAAUCGAGCAUUGAUGGUUUCAAAUACUGCAGGCCCGUCAUUUCAAUAGACGGUACCCAUCUUUAUGGUUUGUACGAUUUGAAACUAUUAAUUGCUGUUGGGAUUGAUGCUAAUGGUAAUAUUCUUCCGCUUGCAUAUGCUCUGGUUGCACGUGAAAGUUUUGAAUCAUGGUCAUGGUUUCUUAAGUUAUUAUGGAGGCAUGUUGUCGGUGAGAGAAAAAAAAUUGGUCUCAUUUCUGAUCGUUAUAAAGAAAUAUUACAAUGUGUUCAAUCUUAUGAUUGGUUGAGUCCACCACACACUUUUCAUAGAUUUUGUGUUCGACACUUGAAAGUCAAUUUUAAUAAAAAAAAUUUGACUAGAGAUCUUGAGAACUUAAUGUGGUCGGCUGCCAUGGAGCAUCAAGAAAGGAAGUUUUUUCAAAGAAUGGAACAAAUUAAGAUAUUGUCCCUUGCAGCAUAUAUGUGGUUAGAUAGAUUUUCGCUAGAUAAAUGGACAAUGUAUAAGGAUGAUGGUCGUAGAUAGGGUGCCAUGACGACAAAUAUAUCCGAGUCAUACAAUAGUUUGUUGAAGAGAUCUCGGGGGCUUCCAGUGACUGCUAUGGUUCGCAUGACUUUUAAAGCUCUUUUUGACCGUUUUGUGGAACGAAGCAACCUUGCUGAUGCUUUAUUACAAAAUAAUAAGUCAUGACCUCCUGCCGUUGAAAACAAAUUCUUAGAUUAUUGGGAGAGAGCGCAAUCACACACUAACAUGAUGACUUAUCAAACUGGUGAUGGGGUAUUUGAGAUUCUUACUUUUUCACGUGAUGAUAAGGGUGAAAAUGUCCACACACUUAAUGCCAAGAAAAAAAUAUGUUCUUGUGGAAAAUGAAAGAAUUAUUACAUGCCAUGCUCACAUUGUAUUAAGUUUUGUGGCAUUCGUGGCAUCGAACCUAAUACAUAUGUUAGCAAGUACUACAACACCAAGCUAUACAAACAAACGUAUAGUGGUAAAUUUUACCCGGUGGGUGAUGAACGAUAUUGACCGCCAGCCCCAUUUGCUUUAGUUGCAAAUUUUGAAUAUAUGCGGACAUCUGGUGUUGAAGAAAAAGUCCGACUUAAGAAUGAUAUGGAUAUUGCUCCAGCUCGCAUGGCUAGAAAGUGUAGUAUUUGUAAAGAAACAUGUCACACUAAGGCACGUUGUCCUAGACAAGCUCAGUAGUCUGUGACUUUCAUAUAUUAUUAUUUUUUGUUGUGUUAUUGGUCUAUAUGUAGUGUUUUUAAUGUAAUAUGUCUUAUUGAUAUCCUUUUUUUGGUUUA